GGGCGCUUAGCUCAGAUGGUAGAGCGCCUCCCUUACAAGGAGGAUGUCGGCGGUUCGAUCCCGUCAGCGCCCACCA
rnacentral:tRNA from 1 species